UACGUAGGGCGCAAGCGUUGUCCGGAAUUAUUGGGCGUAAAGAGCUCGUAGGCGGUUUGUCGCGUCUGCCGUGAAAGCCCGGGGCUUAACUCCGGGUCUGCGGUGGAUACGGGCAGACUAGAGGCAGGUAGGGGAGAACGGAAUUCCCGGUGUAGCGGUGAAAUGCGUAGAUAUCAGGAGGAACACCUGUGGCGAAAGCGGCUCACUGGACCAUGACUGACGCUGAUGCACGAAAGCUAGGGGAGCAAACAGG
rnacentral:rRNA from 1 species